AAAGAUUAAGCCAUGCAUGUAUAAGUAUAAACGAUUUUAUCGUGAAACCGCGAACGGCUCAUUAUAACAGCUAUAAUUUACUUGAUCUUGACUUCCUACUUGGAUAACUGUGGUAAUUCUAGAGCUAAUACAUGCACCAAAGCUCCGACCUUACGGGAAGAGCGCAUUUAUUCGAACAAAACCAAGCGGCUUCGGCCGUUCGCAGUUGACUCAGAAUAACUAAGCUGAUCGCAUGGUCUUGAACCGGCGACGUGUCUUUCAAGUAUCUGCCUUAUCAACUUUCGAUGGUAGUGUAUCUGACUACCAUGGUGGUGACGGGUAACGGAGGAUAAGGGUUCGACUCCGGAGAAGGGGCCUGAGAAAUGGCCACUACGUCUAAGGAUGGCAGCAGGCGCGCAAAUUACCCACUCUCAGAAUGAGGAGGUAGUGACGAGAAAUAACGAGACCGUUCUCUACGAGGCCGGUCAUCGGAAUGGGUACAAUUUAAACCCUUUAACGAGUAUCUAUGAGAGGGCAAGUCUGGUGCCAGCAGCCGCGGUAAUUCCAGCUCUCAAAAUGCAUAGAAUUAUUGCUGCGGUUAAAAAGCUCGUAGUUGGAUCUGUGCCGUUGGACCCGGUCCACCUUAACGGGUGCGCACUGGGCUCCCCGGCUUUCUGCCGGUUUUCCUGUCGUGGCCUUAACUGGUUGCGGCGGGUGGCUGGCGAUUUUACUUUGAACAAAUCAGAGUGCUUAAAACAGGCGUUUCGCUUGAAUGUUCGUGCAUGGAAUAAUAGAAAAGGAUUUCGGUUCUAUUUUAUUGGUUUUAUAGACUGAGAUAAUGGUUAACAGAGACAAACGGGGGCAUUCGUAUUGCUGCGUGAGAGGUGAAAUUCUUGGACCGCAGCAAGACGAACUACAGCGAAAGCAUUUGCCAAGAAUG
rnacentral:rRNA from 1 species